AGGAACUUAGAAAGCUCAGACAAGGGCCUUCAAAAGCCUUAACCAUAAGUGAAAAUCUUCAAUCCCUG
rnacentral:tRNA from 1 species